rnacentral:rRNA from 1 species
UACGUAGGUCCCGAGCGUUGUCCGGAUUUAUUGGGCGUAAAGCGAGCGCAGGCGGUUCCUUAAGUCUGAUGUGAAAGCCCCCGGCUCAACCGGGAGCGUGCAUCUGAUACUGCAGUACUUGAGUGAUAGAGGGGAAAGCGGAAUUCCUAGUGUAGCGGUAAAAUGCGUAGAUAUUAGGAGGAACACCAGUGGCGAAGGCGGCUUUCUGGUCUGAAAUUGACGCUGAGGCUCGAAAGCGUGGGGAGCAAACAGG